GGCCCCGGGACCCCAGGGCGGCCUGGAGAGCCUGGGCGGCCUGGGCAGGUGUGAGCGGACGGAGCAGAGGGUCCCCGGCGCCUCCUCCCACAGCCGCCGCGCCACCCGGGGCCGGUGGUCCUCUCCCCCUCCUCGGCCCUACUUGCUCCGAGUGGGGCGCACGCCGCAUCUUUGAGCUCAGCCUGUGCUUGCACAAUAACACCCGCCCAGAAAACAAAUUAAAAAUAGGAAAAACCCAUCCCAGCCGGUUCUGCCAGGCAGAGUGCUGUCGGAUUGCUAGGCAACCCCGCAAUCCUGCGGGAAGAGGCCUCGCCGAGCUCGCUGCGCGGAAAUGGCGCUCUGGGCCCGGGCGUGGAUGCGCCGGGGAACGGGGCAGGCGCCGCCUGAAGGGAUGCGCGCCACCAGGACCCACGGAUAGCAGAGGAGAGAGAAUGCGCUGGGGUGUCACGGGCUGAGACAGCUGGACACACAGGAAAAUGCACCCCGUUUCUCCGUGUUUCCCACAUCCAGGUGUUCCCAACUGUGCGGGCAAAACGCCUGGAUUUUCUCGGAUCCCCCGCCCCCUCCCAGUUUCUUCAUCAUCUUCAAGGAGAGGCGACUGAGAGCAGGUUUGGGAGCUGGAGACGGCGGAGAAGUGCGAGGGUCCUCCGAAGCGAGAGGGGGGAGCCGAGAGGCCCUUGCCCUCUGCGCUGUGCAGGGCACCAGCACCAGGAUGCCCGUGUCCCCGGUGCUGCCCUAACCAGAACCAGCGCUAAUCCAUGCCUGGCCCAGGGCUCGGGGGUUGGGCGUGGACCUGUGAACCAGGAGCUUACGGUUCAAUUCCUGGACCCAGAGUCAGGAGCAUGUCCAAUGUCCGCGGCCACCAACGCAAUGCAACUCAGAGCGAGGCCCGCCUCCGUUCCUGCCACCUGCGGGGUUUGGAAACGAGGGGCGGAGGCCGGGGUUCGGGGCUGCGGGAAGGCCCU